rnacentral:rRNA from 1 species
UACAGAGGGUGCAAACGUUGUUCGGAAUUACUGGGCGUAAAGCGAGUGUAGGCGGUCUGGAAAGUCGGAUGUGAAAGCCCCGGGCUCAACCCGGGAAGUGCAUUCGAUACUGCCAGGCUAGAGUGUCGGAGAGGUUGGUGGAAUUCUCGGUGUAGAGGUGAAAUUCGUAGAUAUCGAGAGGAACACCGGUGGCGAAGGCGGCCAACUGGACGAACACUGACGCUGAGACGCGAAAGCGUGGGGAGCAAACAGG